UACGGGGGGAGCAAGCGUUGUUCGGAUUUACUGGGCGUAAAGGGCGCGUAGGCGGUCAGCACAAGUCAGUUGUGAAAUCUCCGGGCUUAACUCGGAAAGGUCAACUGAUACUGUGCGACUAGGGUGCAGAAGGGGCAACUGGAAUUCUCGGUGUAGCGGUGAAAUGCGUAGAUAUCGAGAGGAACACCUGCGGCGAAGGCGGGUUGCUGGGCUGACACUGACGCUGAUGCGCGAAAGCCAGGGGAGCGAACGGG
rnacentral:rRNA from 1 species